rnacentral:rRNA from 1 species
CGGCGGACGGGUGAGUAACACGUGGGUAACCUACCUAUAAGACUGGGACAACUUCGGGAAACCGGAGCUAAUACCGGAUAAGAUAUCGAACCGCAUGGUUCGAUAGUGAAAGAUGGUUUUGCUAUCACUUAUAGAUGGACCCGCGCCGUAUUAGCUAGUUGGUGAGGUAACGGCUCACCAAGGCAACGAUACGUAGCCGACCUGAGAGGGUGAUCGGCCACACUGGAACUGAGACACGGUCCAGACUCCUACGGGAGGCAGCAGUG